rnacentral:rRNA from 1 species
UUUAAAAUAGUUGUUAUAGAUAUUCAAAUAACCCUGAAACAAAUGCUUAGGGAUUUUAUUGGUAUCAGGGUUAAUCGUGCCAAGAAAAGCGGCAUGGUCAAUAUAACCAGUAGUGUUAACAGUCGGGAGAGGAGUGGCAUUAACACCAUCCUUCAUGAACUUAAUCCACUGUUCACCAUAAACGUGACGAUGAGGGACAUAAAAAGUAAAAAUGUCUACAGUAGAGUCAAUAGCAAGGCCACGACGCAAUGGAGAAAGACGGAGAGCGCCAACGGCGUCCAUCUCGAAGGAGUCGCCAGCGAUAACCGGAGUAGUUGAAAUGGUAAUAAGACGACCAAUCUGCCCAGCAA